rnacentral:rRNA from 1 species
AUGGCCUGCUACCCAUGCAACCCCCUCCCCCACCUCCCCCGGGCACCACCAUCAUCACAGCUGGCCCUCUGUGCUUGUCGUGGCUAUGUGGUACUAGGAGGAGAUCUUCCCAUGGUGUGCGAUGAGUGGGCUAUCGCCACCUUUGUACCGGAAGUUUCUGCUAAGGAGUUCCAUGGUGCCAUUGCUCUGAUCAUCAACUACCUUGAAGGGCGCGGAUGGCACAUCAACUAAACCUCUCGCUACAGUAUGGGUACGGCUCCCAUCCAAUUUACAACUACUUGUUCUAGAGAUACAGCCGCCAGUCUUAGUCCGUUUCAGAUCGGAGACUCUGUUUUGAGGGUUACUAGGCAGGACAGAGGAUUGAACUAUCGUAGCAUUGCUUUUACUCAUGAUGUUUGGAUCUUGAUGAUGAACUAUCCUCUGUAAUGUUGGGAUGUAGGGGUUAUCAGUCGCACAGUGUCUCCAUAUGGUAGAUUUCUCAGCUGGAACAAGGACCCUAGAGACAAAACAAGAAUUAUAGUGAAACUCGGAGUAUUUAAUGUUGACACUAUUCCCAUUAGCAUUGUUGUGCUUCGCAAUCUGGAUGAUGUUGGCUAUGGGGAUUCAUGGACUUGUCCUACUUACAUCCUCUCUAGAGAAUUGAUUGGGCAGCAGGGUGGUGAUGAGGACCCUCUCCCACCUGAUGGUGGCAAUCCACACCCAUUGCCUCAUGUACAUGGAGGGUUUUGG